GAUGAACGCUGGCGGCGUGCUUAACACAUGCAAGUCGAACGGGAUCCAAGGGGUGCUUGCACUUUUUGGUGAGAGUGGCGAACGGGUGAGUAACACGUGGGUAACCUGUCCUUUUCUUUGGGAUAAGCAUUCGAAAGGGUGUUUAAUACCUUAUGUUCUGUCUGCCUCGCAUGGGGUGGGUGGGAGAGGCUUUGGCCGGAUUUGGGUGGGCUCGCGGUCUAUCAGCUUGUUGGUGGGGUGAUGGCUUACCAAGGCUUUGACGGGUAGCCGGCCUGAGAGGGUGGUCGGUCACAUUGGGACUGAGAUACGGCCCAGACUCCUGCGGGAGGCAGCAGUGGGGGAUAUUGCACAAUGGGCGAAAGCCUGAUGCAGCGACGCCGCGUGGGGGAUGAAGGCCUUCGGGUUGUAAACUUCUUUUGCUCUGAACAAGGCAUGCCAGUGGGUGUGUUGAGUGUAGGGGUUGAUUAGCGCCGGCUAACUACGUG
rnacentral:rRNA from 1 species